rnacentral:rRNA from 1 species
GAAUUGACGGGGACCCGCACAAGCAGCGGAGCGUGUGGUUUAAUUCGUUGCUACACGAAGAACCUUACCUGGGUUUGACAUAUAGGUUGUAGGGAACUGAAAGGGACCGACCCUUCGGGGAGCCUAUACAGGUGUUGCAUGGCUGUCGUCAGCUCGUGUCGUGAGAUGUUCGGUUAAGUCCGCUAACGAGCGCAACCCUCGUCGUAUGUUAUAUGUGUCAUACGAGACUGCCGGUAAAAGCCGGAGGAAGGUGAGGAUGAUGUCAAGUCAGCAUGACCUUUAUAUUCAGGGCUACACACACGCUACAAUGGUCUGUACAAUGGGUAGCCAAGCCGCGAGGCGGAGCCAAUCCUGAAAGCAGGCCUCAGUUCAGAUUGCAGUCUGCAACUCGACUGCAUGAAGCCGGAGUUGCUAGUAACCGCAGGUCAGCAAUACUGCGGUGAAUACGUUCCCGGGCCUU